GCAGGUUGUCACACAUGAUAACAUACAGUGCUGGAUGUCACACAUGAUAACAUACAGUGCUGGUUGUCACACAUAACAUACAAUGCUGGUUGUCACACAGGAUAACAUACAGUGCUGGAUGUCACACAUGAUAACAUACAGUGCUGGUUGUCACACAUAACAUACAAUGCAGGUUGUCACACAGUAUAACAUACCAUGCUGGUUGUCACACAGCAAAACAUACAAUGCUGUUUGCCACACAGGAUGACAUACAGUGCUGGUUGUCACAUGAUAACAUACAAUACUGGUUGUCACACAUGAUAACAUACAAUACUGGUUGUCACAGGACAACAUACAAAGCUGCUUGUCUCACAGGACAACAUACAAUGCUGGUUGUCACACAGCAAAACAUACAAUGCUGUUUGCCUCACAGGAUGACAUACAGUGCUGGUUGUCACACAAAACAUACAAUGCAGGUUGUCACACAUGAUAACAUACAAUACUGGUUGUCACACAUGAUAACAUACAAUGCUGGUUGUCACACAUAACAUACAAUGCUGGUUGUCACACAGGAUAACAUACAAUGCUGGAUGUCACACAUGAUAACAUACAGUGCUGGUUGUCACACAUAACAUACAGUGCUGGUUGUCACACAUAACAUACAAUGCUGGUUGUCACACAGGAUAACAUACAAUGCUGGAUGUCACACAAGAUAACAUACAAUGCUGGUUGUCACACAGGAUAACAUACAAUGCUGGAUGUCACACAAGAUAACAUACAAUGCUGGAUGUCACACAAGAUAACAUACAAUGCUGGUUGUCACACAGGAUAACAUACAAUGCUGGUUGUCACACAGGAUAACAUACAAUGCUGGUUGUCACACAAGAUAACAUACAAUGCUAGAUGUCACACAAGA